CUGAUUUUCUGUUCAGAGCUGACCUACCUUCUUUAUAUACACCCCUGUACAGUUUAGAGGUUUAAUGGCUCAGGACACCUUCAUCUCACCCACAAAUAGAGGCUGUUGAGUCAGGGGAUCCACAGUUAUUUCAACUUCAAAGAUUUUACCAAGAAAUCCACUGCAACUCAGAAAAACUGGCAAAGUCAUCAGGUCACCAACAGCUUAAAGCUUUAUUGAACUUACAAAAUCCAAGGUCUAAAAGUACAUUUCACAUUGCCAUCAUUUUUUGGUACAAAUUUUUUCUAAGUUCGCUUACAAUCACCUUUAGGCCUAACGAAUCCGGUAUCAAGUAUCGUUUUUAGAGCGCACAGUGGGCACAAGUUACCCGUCUUUCCUCCCACCCCCAUAGAAGCCAGCUGCCUCAGCCAAGAGACCGGUGUUUCCCAGAACAAUGGGAAUUUUCAGUCCACGAAGGGCGCUUGCAAAGAACGGGACAGAACGACGUAAAGCAGCAGGGCGCGUCCCAGGCUGGUGCGUAAUGGAGACUGCACUCGGUGCGCGCUCCUGUUACAAUUUCCCCCACCGAGGACAGAAAAAAAAAAAAAAAUAAUAAUAAUCUUUGGUGAAAUCCAAACGCGUUUGAUUAGAAGGGAUCAUUUUAAAGGACUGCUCUUGGAAUAGGCUACCGCUGCGGCCCCAGUCCACCCGUGUUGGCCGUUAUGUGUCCGGUUAGAGCCGUCCGCUCGUUAGGACCAGUCGUGGAGCAGAGAAGCCGCCAGAGCCAGCGGGAGCAGCAGCGUGCAGGACGCGGUGCUGCCGGAGCCGUUGUCCGGUGACACCGAGGUUGCGUUGGUGGAGUUCACGGACAUCGUGCUGCUUGACACAGUCGCGUCCGCGGUCGUCACGGCAUCGGUCUGCGCCCGAACCACCUGCAACACAUAAGACCCCAUCAGCUCAUUCUUUACCAUGGCCUAGAGGAGCAUUUCUCUGGAACACAAUUCAAGGACGAAAACUACAGUCAAGCCCGAAAUUAUUCAUACCCCUAACAAAUUCUGACUUUGAGUUACUUUCAUUCAACAAACAAGUUUUUUUGUUUGUUUGGUUUUUUUUUUUUUAAGAUUGGAAAUGAUACAAGUGUUUCCCAAAAGAUAACAUGAUGUACAAGAGGCAUCGCUGUGGAAAUAAUUUCUCAGCUUUUAUUUACAUUUGAAAGUAACUUUAAGUUUAAAAUUGCUAAAUAAUUUCGGGCUUGACUUUAGAUACCAGAGGAGCAGCUUGUUAGACCAUCUAGAGUCAAACAAGAAGCACCAUCAUCUCAUUACGUGCACGUUUAGUUUGAUCUUCCAGGUGACCCAGUGGGCUGUAAAAUGAUCAUGUAGCUCAGAAUUUGGUUUGCCUGAUUCUGAGGAACAAAAAAAAAAAAAAAAAAUCCCCGGUGCAGGCUUGAGUCACUUCCCUAAACGUCUCCUGAAGUACAAAGUGAACAAUGAGGGUUGGGCGAGGCUCUCUUUUGCACCCCAAGGUCCCUGCUGCAGAUUACAUGACUUCAAAACCACCACCCAACUCGAAAGAGGUUAUUAAGUUACAGUGAUGCGAGGAGGAAGCAAACCUGUGAGGAGAGAUGCAGAGCCAGCAGGAGAACUCCGAGGUACGCGAUGCACAUCUUCUUCAUGGUUCCGUCUGCUGGAUCACUGCCUGGCUCAGAUUAGUGAACAGCAAAUCACAGCCAUGAAGGUGAUGGAAAAAAAUGACUACCAAUCCUUGCAGUCCAUUUAUGAAGGAACUAUUCGUAGGCAAGCCCAGAGGACAGUGACUGAACUGUCACAUAUCCUCACUUGGAAUACAAGCUCCUACCCUCGGGCAGACGAUAUAGAGUCCCCAACUGCAGACUCAAC
ensembl:lncRNA